CUAUACAUGUUGUAAAUAAUAAAUGAUUUGAUCGAAGUGGACAUGUGGUGGAACUAUGCAUUAUUUCUACUUACAUUUUUUUUACAAUUUGCAGGGCUUGUGGCUGCUACUUUUUGCUACCUAAAGUUUUUCCCAUCUCCAUACGACACUGCUGGUUGUCAUUCAAGCUAUGCAUCAAAGUCAACGACGAGGAUCUUCUGAAGAUAUAAAGUGGAUGUUGUUCGUCAAUGAAUUUAUAGGAUAUGACUCAUGCGAGCACAACUCAUCAAUAGGAUUGAUAUUUUCUUUUUCACAAUAUAACAACCUUUUGAAAAACUAUUCCAAUGCAAAUUUAUAGUGCAUAUUAAAUAUAUAUGUUUAGUUAAUUUAAAUAUU